rnacentral:ncRNA from 1 species
GCAACACGUCAGGGGAGUCCCGCCGAAGGGACUGAGAGGCUGAUAUCCGCCGGGGAGAUCCGGUGGAGGUGAUGCGACCCUUAGAACCUGACCCAGUUGAUGCUGGCGUAGGAAGACCGAAGGGCAUUUCC